UAGGUGAAGGGCGUAUUCGGUGGGCACACCACAUGUGGCUGGAAGGUAGGGGGAGCAUUUUGGGUGGCACAAAGCAUGGCAUUCUAAUGUGGGAAAGAAAAAUACAGCUAAAACAAGAGUAUCAAGCUAGGGUUACACUUCCAACCACUUUUUGCGCGUUUCUGUUAUCGACAAAGUGAAAGUGCGUUAAAAAAAAAAAAAAAAAAAAAAAAAAUUUGCUGUCUCCCGCCUGUUUCCAUCCAAUUGGCCUUUUACCGAUAAAAUGGUGUGCGUGAUGACGUCACCCUUAAACAAACAAACAAAAAACUGUCUCUGAUGCAAGUUUUGGUGUAUCUCAAAAGAAAUCUGCCCUUGAGCCGUUUCCAUGCAUAAUUUUGUGUAUAUCGCAAAUUGUGCACAUUUUGCGUCCCGCAUGUCCUCAAAUCUUUGUACAGUGGAGAGUACUGAGACAAUGAAACUGGCCAGCUUACUUUCAUUUUAAUUUAACAAAUAAUUGCAAUUGCACGAAAUAUCAGAAAACGACGUCAGAAUCGAGCAGGUGCUCAUCUGACAGGGCUCCAAGUAACCUUCGUCAAAUUUAUGCGACGAAGCCCAUGUGUCUGGGAGGUGGUGGUGGAGAACUGCACCCAUCGCAGGACCUGAAAAGACUGCCAUCGCGCUGUUCAAGCUGGCGACCUGCGCCACAGAGUAGUGGGGAAAACUUUCGGCUGUCUCUGUAUUUCUCGAGCCCUGCGUUCAGCCUGGUUCUUCUCUUCCUCCAGUGCCGUCCUCCAGCUCUCCCACUGCCUCUCCUUCUCCAAUAGCUCGUCAUUCAGAGUCUCCAGCUCUAGCACCUGCUCUUCCAGCAUGCCACUUCUCUGCGCAGGCGAUCCACCUCUUGGCUAAGCUGCAGUCUCUCCUCAUUCUCGUCAGUGGCUUCAUCCAGCUGCUUGGAAAGGUAGAAGUUCUGCCUGUUUAACUCUGCAUUUUCCUGUGUCAGCUGAGUCAACUGCUCCUCCAGUGGUCUCCUCUAGCUCAGUUUUGGCCUGCUGUAACUGGCUUUCCAAGGCAUGGCGUGUAGCCUGCAGGCUGCUGAUCUGAGACUCUCUCUCCUGUAAUGACAGUGUCAGCUCUGACACUUGCCGCUUUAAAUCCAGCUUCUGCUCCUCAUGUUCCAGGCCGAUCUAAAGAGGAGCUCUUUAUCAGCCAAGUCUACCUUCAUCUGGGUCUCCAAAACCUUGUCAACAUAAUGUACAAUGAGUCUCCAUGCGCUGGGCUGUGGCUUGCGUUUCACGCAAGUUCUCCUCCAAUUCCUGUAAAUUGAAGAACAAGAUACAUUAAUUCCACUUUAUGGUUAUGAUAGAACCCCAAUAGUGGUGUAAUCCACCCAACCCCUCCAGGGGCUUAAGGGGCCUAGCCCAAUAAUGUUCCAGCAUGACAAUUCCCCUGUGCACAUAUCAACGUCCACAAAGACACAGUUUGCCAAAGCUGGAGUGGAAGAACUCGAGUGGCCUGCAUGGAGCCCUGACCUCAACCCCACUGAGCACUUUUAGGAUGAACUGGAAUGCUGACUAUGCCUGAGGCCUUCUUGCCCUAUAUCAGAGCCUGACCUCACUAAUGUUCUUGUAGCUGAAUGGGCAAAUCUCCACAGCCACAUUCAGAUUUUGUGCCAAAAUAAAUUGGUAUUUGGAGCUAUCCAUGAUUCCCUCUUUCUCAAAUCAGAUAUUUAUUCUCCCUGGCUUGAGAAUAAUGUGAUUUAAUAUGGGAACAAUAGUGGUAUAUGUGCAAUUUCUUCAUAUGUCAGUAUAUGCAUAAAACUGUUGUUUUGUAAGUAUUAUUUAUACAUGUGUAUGAUGUUGACUACACCACUGAACUUUAGGCACCUCCCAUCCACCACCACUAACCACCAUACACAUUUACACUUAACAGACUUAAAUUGAUCACAUUACAAAAUCUAAAAAAAAGAUAUUUCAUACUACUGCCAUAUUUUGUGGCAUCAAAUAUUUAUGAGCAAUCAGUGUAGCCAUGCAAUCUUAACCAAAGAGAAACACAAUCCAGGCUUGCAGUCUGCUGCUUUUGGAACUGAGACAGGCACAGAGAGCAUGCUGGGAGCAGUAGGGGCCACUGCUCAGUCAGACAGAAGAGACAAAGAGUAUGUGUGUGCUUAUGUAUCAGU